UACGGAGGGUGCAAGCGUUGUCCGGAAUUAUUGGGCGUAAAGCGCGCGCAGGCGGUUUCUUAAGUCUGAUGUGAAAGCCCACGGCUUAACCGUGGAGGGUCAUUGGAAACUGGGGAACUUGAGUACAGAAGAGGAGAGUGGAAUUCCACGUGUAGCGGUGAAAUGCGUAGAUAUGUGGAGGAACACCAGUGGCGAAGGCGACUCUCUGGUCUGUAACUGACGCUGAGCCGCGAAAGCCAGGGGAGCGAACGGG
rnacentral:misc_RNA from 1 species